AUUGAACGCUGGCGGCAGGCCUAACACAUGCAAGUCGAGCGGAGGAAUUGAGAUAGCUCCUGGAUUAAGCGGCGGACGGGUGAGUAAUGGCUAGGAAUCUGAGUGGUAGUGGGGGAUAACGUCCGGAAACGGGGGAUAAUACCGCGUAAGUGCUGAGGAAGCAAGAGAGGGACCUUAGGACGUAUGGCUAUCAGAUGAGAAUAGGUCGGAUUAGAUAGUUGGUGGGGUAAAGGCCUACAAAGGCGACGAUCCGUAACUAGUAUGAGAGGAUGAACAGGCACACUAGAACUGAGACGCGGUCCAGACUCCUACGGUAGGGCACAGUGGAGAAUAUUGGGGGAUGGAGGAGAGCCUGAUCCAGCCAUGCCGCGUGUAUGAAGAAGGUCUUCCGAUUGUAAAGCACUUUAAGUAGGGGGGAAGGGCAGUAAGUUAAUACCUUGCUAUUUUGACGUUACCAACAGAAUAAGCACCGGCUAAGUUCGUG
rnacentral:rRNA from 1 species